GGGAGUAUAACUCAGUGGUAGAGUGCAUACUUAGCACAGGAGGUCCUGGGUUCAAACCCCAGUACCUCCA
rfam:Camelus ferus unplaced genomic scaffold scaffold538, whole genome shotgun sequence.